AAUUGCUCCCUAUGCCUUUGAGAACACAUUGAGAGUGAACCCUGUUUUUGAAAAUGACGAUGGCAUCUUGACUCAAGUAUCCAGCAUAAGUACACCAGCACCCUCGAGUAGUGGUGCUGGUUCUUCUCAAACAUCAGAGCAAGAAGCUUUUCGCGCUAUUGAAAAUAUACAUCUAAGUAUUGAGAUCCCCAGACAGCUCUACACAACCAGACCCGACAAGCUAGUCUCUGAAAUGGUAGAUUUCCAUCACUGUAUACCACACAACGAGACGUGGCGACCACCGAAUGAGUACCGAACCUGUUGCCUGUUAAGGGCAUCAGAAAACGAAUGCUUUGAGGUAACUGUUCUUUGAUGGCUAAUUUCUUGGCACCAAGAUUCUUGGUUGCUUUGAACUUGAGCGGUAUACUCGAAAUAUAUCUUGUCUCUUGGAAAUUCACGUCAUGGCAGUGGACUCAUCAAUUACUGGAAUUACUGCAUACAUGGAGAAGUGUACCUAGGAUUGGAUGUUACUGGAAUUACUGCAUACAUGGAGAAGUGUACCUGGAGUUGGAUCUUACUGGAAUUACUACAUACAUGGAGAAGUGUACCUAGGAUUGGAUGCAUAUUGCAGACGGCGUGUGGAUAUUACAUGCUGGACUAGAAGGUUGUGUUAAGGUAUACCCAUCUAUUUAUACACAGAGUAUUUUCCUAACAUUGAGUUGCACCCACCCCUUUUUGCCAUCAGAACAGCCUCAAUUCGUCAGGGCAUGGACUCUUCAAGGUGUCGAAGGCAAUCCAUAGGG